CUCCUACGGGUGGCAGCAGUGGGGAAUCUUGCACAAUGGACGAAAGUCUGAUGCAGCGACGCCGCGUGAGCGAUGAAGCCCUUCGGGGUGUAAAGCUCUUUCGACAGGAACGAUAAUGACGGUACCUGGAGAAGAAGCUGCGGCUAACUACGUGCCAGCAGCCGCGGUAAUACGUAGGCAGCAAGCGUUGUUCGGAAUUACUGGGCGUAAAGCGUGCGUAGGCGGUGCUUCAAGUUUGGUGUGAAAUCUCCCGGCUCAACCGGGAGGGUGCGCCGAAAACUGAGGCGCUCGAGUGUGGGAGAGGUAGGCGGAAUUCCUGGUGUAGUGGUGAAAUGCGUAGAUAUCAGGAGGAACACCGGCGGUGUAGACGGCUUACUGGACCAUUACUGACGCUGAGGCACGAAAGUGUGGGGAGCAAACAGGAUUAGAUACCCUGGUAGUCCACACCCUAAACGAUGCAUACUUGGUGUGAGCCAUUCAUUUGGUUCGUGCCGGAGCUAACGUGUUAAGUAUGCCGC
rnacentral:rRNA from 1 species